AUUGUACUCCCUCCGUCCCAUAUUAAUUGUCGAAAUAUUACAUGUAUCUAGACGCUUUUUAGGCAUAGAAACAUCCAUAUUUGGACAAAUUUGAGACAAUUAAUAUGGGGCGGAGGGAGUACGAC
rfam:Brachypodium distachyon strain Bd21 chromosome 4, whole genome shotgun sequence.